rnacentral:lncRNA from 1 species
GGGAUCCCAUCACGAAACUGAUCCCUCACAUGAAAAAUCUCCUUCAUGCAAUCAUCAAAUGUGUAACGGCCCCAUGGAAAUUCGGUGCAAAACUCCAGAUCUUCUGCUGCUAGGAGAAUGAAAUACUCAAUGAAGUAUCCUCCUUUUGACCUUCCUCUUAAAACUCUAGCCAAAAAGUAAAGAACCGCCAUCCUCAGACGAUCGCCACUACCAUCAAACUUCAUCUUCUGAAGUUUCUCUAAGACAUCCGCUUCUGUCACUUGCAGACCCUUUUCCUUCCCAUCCUUUGUCUUCUUUACCUUAAAAUACUUUCUCGCAAACUUCAUGCUC